UGGAUCGAUGACGAUCCAUGCCAGCGUCUGAGUCCUCAAUGACGAGUAAUACGUGUCUGGAACUCUGAGGUCCAA
ensembl:snoRNA